GGGCGUAAAGGGUGCGUAGGUGGUUUGGCAAGUUGGCGGCGUAAUUCCGAGGCUCAACCUCGGGACUGCUUUGGAAACUGUAGAUCUAGAGUGCUGGAGAGGUAAGUGGAAUUCCUAGUGUAGCGGUGAAAUGCGUAGAUAUUAGGAGGAACACCAGUGGCGAAGGCGGCUUACUGGACAGUAACUGACGUUGAGGCUCGAAAGCGUGGGGAGCAA
rnacentral:rRNA from 1 species